rnacentral:tRNA from 1 species
GGCUGUGUGGUCUAGUGGUAUGAUUCUCGCUUAGGGUGCGAGAGGUCCCGAGUUCAGUUCUCGGCACAGCCC